GACAGAUGACAUCACCGAUGACGACAUGAUUGUUUUAAGCCAACUUGUCCGAGUGUCACUUAUUUUCCUUACGUCCCCGUUCAGUAACGCAGAAAUGGUGCAGUUGAACAAGAUUAGAAUAGAAGAGGAACAAAUGGCUCAACUGGUCGCUCUUGCCUCUGAUCCGAGGAUACUUAAUUUCAACCAACGAAUUCUUCCAAUUUUUUCGAAUCAAU